rnacentral:tRNA from 1 species
CAUUAAGAAGCUAUGCUAGCGUUAACCUUUUAAGUUAAAGAUGAGGAUAAAACCCCUCCUUAAUGA